rnacentral:rRNA from 1 species
GUCUAUGGCCAUGCUACCCUAAAUGUGCCCGAUCUCCUCUGAUUUUGGAAGCUAGGCAGGGUCGGGCCUGGUUAGUACUUGGAUGGGAGACCGCCUAGGAAGACCAAGUGCUGUAGGCA